GAUGAACGCUGGCGGCGUGCCUAAUACAUGCAAGUCGAGCGAACAGACGAGGAGUUUGCUCCGCUGACGUUAGCGGCGGACGGGUGAGUAACACGUGGAUAACCUACCUAUAAGACUGGGAUAACUUCGGGAAACCGGAGCUAAUACCGUAUAAUAUAUUGAACCGCAUGUUUCAAUAGUGAAAGACGGCUUUGCUGUCACUUAUAGAUGGAUCCGCGCCUCAUUAGCUAGUUGGUAAGGUACCGGCUUACCAAGGCAACGAUGCGUAGCAGAACUGCGAGGGUGGUCGGCCACCCUGGAACUGAGACACGGUCCAGAGUCCUACGGGAGGCAGCAGUAGGGCAUCUUGCGCAAUGGGCGGAAACCUGACGGAGCAGCGCCGCGUGUGUGAUGAAGGUCUUCUGAGCGUAAAACUCUGUUAUUAGGAAAGAACAGAUGUGUAAGUAACUAUGCACGUCUUGACGGUACCUAAUCAGGAAGCCACGGCUAACUACGUG
rnacentral:rRNA from 1 species